rnacentral:lncRNA from 10 species
CUGCGGCUCCUCCCUCGGGCAGAGGGAGUCCAGAUGCGAGGGACGCCCUCCAGAGCCGAGCUGGGCCGGCCGGGCAGCUAGGGUGCUGGGAGGUUGCGGUGCAGGGUGGGUGGGUGCAGUGAGGCUGGAGCCACGCUGGGGGGGCUGGGCUGGCGGGGGGAGGCUGGAGCCGCGCCGGGGAGAGGGAGGCGGCGGUUGGGUGCUGGAGGGCGCUGGUGCCGUGCCAGUGGGCGGUGGCGCCUUACGCCACCCGCCCCACCCCCGUCACCGUGCCCGCCCCACUGCGUGGGAUUUUACAACCUAGGUCCCCGGGAGGUGGUGGUGGAGGGAGGGGCGGCGGGGACGUUUCCGGGGCGGGGGAGGGGCGCACUGCUCCAGAACUGGACCGAGGGCGGGGCUCCCCUCUGCUUCUCCCCUCUGUUCCAGCGCUGAGACGCAGGCCUUUCCUGGCGCGAAGCGACUCGCCCCGGAGCUCCCCUGCACCGUCCUGGGUGUCAGGACGCGUCAACCCAGAUGACCCGACCCGGAGAUCCUGGAUCCUCUGCCCUCUUCCCCCUACCAAGUCCUUAACCGGAGAGGGAGGAGCUACCAAUGUCCUCCAGACGUUCUCCAAAGCCCGAGCUGCCGGGAGAAGCUUGCUCAAGGCGGGUGCGCCCCUCAGACGUUUGUUUGCACGCAGGGGUUUUGACGUUUCGCUAAGCAACAGCGUUUGCCAGGGAAUCAGGGCUGUUUCGAAGAGCUUGCGUCUAUUUGAUGCUCCCAUCUUGAACAAAUCGUUUCCAUUCGAUUUGUUUAACCAAGGCGAGGGCGGACUAUGUUGUUACUUAAAAGUUAUUCUUCAUCCAAGCUGUCCUCAGAUUUUCAUCUAAGGGUGUCAUAACACCCCAGGUCGUUGCGCAAAUGUUUUGUGACAAUUUAGAAAACCAGAGGGGGGAAAUAUCCUUAGAGAAAAAAUCAUAACCAACAAGAAAAUUAUGUUAAAUGAUGUUGGUCCUUUUUCAUCGGAUGGUCCCAGUUGACACAUAGUCUUUUACAAAACCAGUGACUAUUCACAGUCUUCAAUUUAUGGCACAUCUCCCGGUGGGGGCGAAGUGCAUGAAUGGGUCCCACCUUAUUCACCAGCUGAAACUCUGAACAAGCCUUGGGGUUUCCUCUCCCAAAGACUGCCAGGCUUCACUAAGAAUCAAAACAAAACAGGAUACUAAAUGCCUGCGGUUCCUUUUUCCAUAAUUUUUUUCUUUUAACCAGCCUUUCACCUCACCCAAAGGCCAC